rfam:Triticum aestivum genome assembly, contig: Triticum_aestivum_CS42_TGACv1_scaffold_592426_7BS
CUUUUACUCCCUCCGUCCGGAAAUACUUGUCAUCAAAAUGGAUAAAAGGGAUGUAUCUAGACGUAUUUUAGUUCUAGAUACAUCUUUUUUAUCCACUUUGAUGACAAGUAUUUUUGAAAGGAGGGAGUAUCAU